CUUGUCCUCUCCACCCAUCAUUGGCAUAGCAACUCCAACCUUAACAGGACUAACAUAAUCUGGCCUGUAUGUCUUCCCCAAGAUUCCUUCAACAACAUCUGUCAGGUUGAAAAACUUGAACUGUGUCUCCAGGUGAGCAAAUGCAUCCUCUGCUGGCAACUGGUAAUUGUGAAUCCUGUUCUCUUCUUUCCCGAUUGGUCUCACCUUUAUAUUCAGCUCUACCAAAUCUGAGACUGCAACUCUUAUAGUGUUAAUAUCAUCAGUUCUUUCAACUAAAACCUCUCUUUCUUCUCCAUUAGUCCUCCAUUCCGAGUCCCCAUCGGCCGGGAUAUCAACUGUGUUACCAUCCCAUUUUACCAGAAGAGCAUCAACAUUGUCAUCCCAGAGUGAGACUCUCUUUGCUGCAAUGACUAGUGUGUGAGUAUCAAACAUGAUAGAGAGGGCUUGC
rnacentral:lncRNA from 1 species